GAUGAACGCUGGCGGCGUGCCUAAUACAUGCAAGUCGAGCGAACAGACGAGGAGCUUGCUCCUCUGACGUUAGCGGCGGACGGGUGAGUAACACGUGGAUAACCUACCUAUAAGACUGGGAUAACUUCGGGAAACCGGAGCUAAUACCGGAUAAUAUAUUGAACCGCAUGGUUCAAUAGUGAAAGACGGUUUUGCUGUCACUUAUAGAUGGAGCCGCGCCGCAUUAGCUAGUUGGUAAGGUAACGGCUUACCAAGGCGACGAUGCGUAGCCGACCUGAGAGGGGGGACGGUGAAACUGGGACUGAGACACGGGCGAGACGCCGACGGGAGGCAGCAGGGGGGAAUAUGGCACAAGGGGCGGAAGGAUGAGGCAGCGAAGCAGCAAGAGGGAUGGAGGCGUUCGGGUUGUGAACCGCGUUAGCCAGAGAAGCAGGCCUGCCUCGAUUGUGGGGGGGUGGACGGUAGCUGGAUAAGAAGAGACGGCUAAAUACGUG
rnacentral:rRNA from 1 species